rnacentral:tRNA from 1 species
UCGGGCGUAGCUCAGCGGUAGAGCAAUCGGCUGUUAACCGAUUGGUCGUAGGUUCGAAUCCUACCUCUGGAGCCA